GAUGAACGCUGGCGGCGUGCCUAAUACAUGCAAGUCGAGCGAACGGACGAGAAGCUUGCUUCUCUGAUGUUAGCGGCGGACGGGUGAGUAACACGUGGAUAACCUACCUAUAAGACUGGGAUAACUUCGGGAAACCGGAGCUAAUACCGGAUAAUAUUUUGAACCGCAUGGUUCAAAAGUGAAAGACGGUCUUGCUGUCACUUAUAGAUGGAUCCGCGCUGCAUUAGCUAGUUGGUAAGGUAACGGCUUACCAAGGCAACGAUGCAUAGCCGACCUGAGAGGGUGAUCGGCCACACUGGAACGGAGACACGGUCCAGACUCCUGCGGGAGGCAGCAGUAGGGAAUCUUCCGCAAUGGGCGAAAGCCUGACGGAGCAACGCCGCGUGAGUGAUGAAGGUCUUCGGAUCGUAAAACUCGGUUAUUAGGGAAGAACAUAUGUGUAAGUAACCGUGCACAUCUUGACGGUACCUAAUCAGAAAGCCACGGCUAACUACGUG
rnacentral:rRNA from 1 species